AUGAACGUUGGCGGCGUGCCUUAAGCAUGCAAAUCAAGGGGGUCCCGCAAGGGACUACCGGUGGACGGGUGAGUAAUGCGUGGGAACAUCCCUCGAAGUUGGACAUAGCCAGCCGAAAGGUUGGGUAAUUUCCAAUGUGAACGUAAGUUCAAAGCCGCAAGCGCUUUGAGAUUGGCCCGCGUCCUAUCAGCUAGUUGGUGGGGUAAUGGCCUACCAAGGCAACGACGGGUAGCUGGACUGAGAGGUCGGUCAGCCACAAUGGGACUGCGACACGGCCCAUACACCUACGGGUGGCAGCAACUGGGAAUAUUCGACAAUGGGCGAAAGCCUGAUCGAGCGACGCCGCGUGGAGGAUGAAGGCCUUCGGGUUGUAAACUCCUUUUAUCGACGAAGAUUAUGACGUUAGUCGAUGAAUAAGCACUUGCUAACUAACGUGCCAGAAGCCUCGGUAAUGCGUAGAGUGCAAACGUUAUCCGGAUUUAUUGGGUGUAAAGGGUUGCGUAGGCGGAUUUGUGCAUCUUAUUAAAAUACUAUGGCUAACCAUAGACUUGGGUAAGAUAUGACAAAUCUGGAUGGUAUGGGAGGGUGCUGGAACCGAUGGUGUAGCAGUGAAAUGCGUUGAUAUCAUCGGGAACACCAAAGGCGUAGGCAGGCACCUAACAUACUCAUGACGCUGAGGCACGAAAGCUAGGGGAGCGAAAUCGAUUAGAGACCGAUGUAGUCCUAGCCGUAAACUAUCUCUGCUAGAUAGUCGGGUUUACCUGACUGUCGCAGCUAACGCGUUAAGCAGAGCGCCUGGGGAGUACGAGCGCAAGCUUAAAACUCAAAGGAAUUGACGGGGACCCGCACAAGCAGUGGAGCGUGUUGUUCAAUUCGAUACAAAACGAAAAACCUCACCAGGGUUUGACAUGUACCUGCAAGCGCACGGGAAACGGUGUGACCUUCGAGGGUGGUACACAGAUGCUGCCUGGCUGUCGUCAGCUCGUGGCGUGAGCUGUUAUCUUAAGUGAUGAAACGAGCGCAACCCGCACCCGUAUGUUAAAUAAUCAUACAGGAACAGCCCCGAUUCGUCGGGGAGGAAGGCGCGGAUGACGUCAAGUCAGCACGGCUCUUACACCCUGGGCUACAAACACACUACAAUGGCGAAAAACAACGAGUUGCAAGUACGCAAGUGCAAGCUAAUCUCUGAAAUUUCGCCUCAGUUCAGAUUGGGGUCUGCAAUUCGACCCCAUGAAGUCGGAAUUGCUAGUAAUCGCGGAUCAGCGAGCCGCGGUGAAAUACGUUCUCGGGUCUUGUACACACCGCCCGUCAAGGCAGCAAAGUCAGGGGCACCCGAAUCCGGCAACCGCCGGAGAAGGUGAAACUGGCGAUGAAGCUU
rnacentral:rRNA from 1 species